AAAAUCGGAUUUUUGGUUAGCUCUCGGGUAGCCUUCAUAGGGCUGUAUACCGGUACAGGGUUGAUGGCUGUACCGGUACAGGGUUGAUGGCUGUACCGGUACAGGGUUGAUGGUUGUAUCGGUACGGGAUUGUGUACCGGUACACAGGCAGCUUCCCAGCCAACCCGAGGCUCGGGUUUUGCAUUUUCGUGGGAUGUGUACCGGUACGUGGGCCCGUGUACCGGUACGCAGUGGCAGUUUUUGAGCAGUUUGAACUGCAGGGGAUUUUUCGCGAUUGUGGCUAUUCUAUAUAGCACCCACG
rnacentral:lncRNA from 1 species